UCUCUCUCGCUCUUGCUUGCUUCGCUUCUGCUUGCUUUUGCUCUUUAGCUAGUUCAGCUAAACUGUCCAAUUUCUUCCCGGAUGGUUUCUCCUUUCCUUUUUCUGAUCAUUUCGAACCUGCUCCAGACUGGGACCUGAGAAACACCAAGAUCCUGCACCUUCUGGCCUGCAGCAGCAGCCCCAGCGCCGGAGGGACUGAGAACAGAGUGACCAACCCCAGAGAGACUUUCUGAAUUUGUCAUCUUUUUCAGAGCGGUGCCAUCCGCUGUUUUACACAUCUCAAUGCGAGCAGAGUGAUAAGGAACAUAACGAUCCUGCAGAGAUCCUACUAACACAAUGUUUUUGAAGUAAUGAAGACCUACAAGAAAAAAGCCUUUCCUUCUCCCUUACACUGACCUCACUGAAGGACCAGGAAACAAGAUGGUGUAGCUGAGUCUGUGGCCCAAAAUACAGCUCUUUCCAACUCUUUGGCAAGAAAGAAAAAACUGAGCCUGAAGACUUUUAUAUUCCUUCUACCAUUUAUGGGGAAUAAAGUCCGAAAUGUACAUUAUGACUCUUGAGAAAAUGCUAUGCAGGUCUUUCAAAAAUCCUGUCAUAUAAAGAGAAAAAGAAAACUGGUGCCAUGAAAUGCUAAAAGAGCAUAGGAAAAAAAUUAAUGAAAAGUUUCCAUUCAAACCUGUAUUUUAUGUCAUUCAGGAGGCAUAGCUUGUCCAUGUCUCUCAAGCUGCACAAACUCAUUAAAAACAUGUUUUGAACUCCUCCAGAAAUAUUUAAUACAGCAUUUUUGAAAAGCUAACAAAACCAAACUAUCCUUCCACCAGCAUCUACCACCCAAACCCAAGAUUAUUUCUGGGUUCAUUUCUCUUAGCACCACCUAUUAAGAAAAUAUUUUAUGAGCCAUGCAUGACUGAAAUCAUCAUUACUUUGGCAUGUGAUGGCACUCAAUAUGAUAAAUGUAUGAGCAUUCCUGAAACAAUCUAGUGGAGAGAGAUUCCAAAGGUAGUCCUAAUAGGGCUUAAAUGAACCUGAUUAUUUAAAAACAGAAGCACCAUCUCAGACUGACCAAAAGAAGUGAUUAUCAGCUUGAGCAGGCAAUUGAAGAAUAUGUCUCUGUCAGGACAAUCACACUUUAGGUGUUUCCCUGGUUAAGCAAUUUAAGGGAAAGAUGGAUGGAACUCUUUAGCUUCUUGUAUCUAAGGAUAAAUAUUUCUUCACGUGAGGUGCUUACUGUCAUAUACGCAAGCCUAUAUAAAGCAUUUCUUUAAAAUGGACACCACAAAAUUAAGCCAUUCUAGUUAUUAUGCUAACAGAUCCCUGCUGAGAUCAGGCCCACACCAGACUAGGCACUGACUUAAAGAAGACCAGACUCACAAAGUUAGAAGGAAAAAGUACCUUCCUGCAUUACAGAUGUAACCCCAGGAUAUGGUGAAAACA